UUUUAGCAGGUGGAAGAGGGUAGCAAUAACAGGUCCGUGAUGCCCUUUAGAUGCUUUGGGCUGCACGCGUGCUACAAUGUUAGGAUCAAUAGGACUGCGAGCCUGAGAGGGUGCGCUACUCUUAUAAUCCCUAACGUAGUUGGGAUUGACGUUUGUAAUCAGCGUCAUGAACCAGGAAUCCCUUGUAAAUGUGUGUCAACAACGCACGUUGAAUACGUCCCUGCCCUUUGUACACACCGCCCGUCGCUCCUACCGAUUGGAUGACUCGGUGAAAUCACCGGAUGCUUACGAGCAGAAAGUGAUUAAAUCACGUUAUCUAGAGGAAGGAGAAGUCGUAACAAGGUAACGGUAGGUGAACCUGCCGUUGGAUCAGUU
rfam:Trichomonas vaginalis G3, whole genome shotgun sequence.